GUUGCCUAAACGGUUACUGGACAAACUGAUGAUAAAGAAAGUGAAAUUAUUGUCAGAAGCGAGAAACAGUGCAGCUUUGAAGAUCUGACAAAAUUCAGGUUAUGUCUGAAUUGACCACGGAGACACAUGAUGACAGCUACACCAAAAAGAGCACAGUGAGGUCACAGGACGUCCCCAGACUCCUCCACACUCGCUCCAGAUCAAUGUGCAGCAGACCACAGCAGCUGAGACUGACAGAGGCAACGCUUCAUGAUCACCAUCACAAUCAUCAUAAGUAGUAAUGAUGAGUAAUAUCAG